rnacentral:rRNA from 1 species
ACUCAAAUGAAUUGACGGGGACCCGCACAAGCGGUGGAGCGUGUUGUUUAAUUCGAUGAUAAGCGAAGAACCUUACCCAGGCUUGACAUCCUUGGAAUCUCUUCGAAAGUUGAGAGUGCCUUUGGAACCAAGUGACAGGUGUUGCAUGGCCGUCGUCAGCUCGUGUCGUGAGAUGUUUGGUUAAGUCCAUUAACGAGCGCAACCCUUAUAGUUAGUUGAAUUUCUCUAGCUAGACUGCCCUGGUAACAGGGAGGAAGGAGGGGAUGAUGUCAGGUCAGUAUUACCCUUACGUCUGGGGCUACAAACACGCUACAAUGGCCAGUACAAAGGGCAGCCAAGUCGCGAGACGGAGCAAAUCCCAUCAAAGCUGGUCUCAGUUCGGAUUGCAGGCUGAAACUCGCCUGCAUGAAGCUGGAAUCGCUAGUAACGGUAAGUCAGCACAUUACCGUGAAUACGUUCCCGGGUCUUGCACACACCGCCCGU